GACGUAGGGGGCGAGCGUUGUCCGGAUUCAUUGGGCGUAAAGAGCGCGUAGGCGGCCCGGAAAGUGGGAUGUGAAAACCCGAGGCUCAACCUCGGGCCUGCAGUCGAUACGGGCAGACUAGAGUAUGGCAGGGGAGACUGGAAUUCCUGGUGUAGCGGUGAAAUGCGCAGAUAUCAGGAGGAACACCGGUGGCGAAGGCGGGUCUCUGGGCCAUAACUGACGCUGAGGAGCGAAAGCGUGGGGAGCGAACAGG
rnacentral:rRNA from 1 species